UCACAAACUAAUCAGAGUAUGCGACGCCUUUGGUCCUAAGGUUGUUUUGAUCUCAAAUAUUCCAGUCUAAUAAUCUCACAUGUAUGCAGAGGAUGGGCAAUUUUGGUGUGUCCUUGUUCUUGAAGUAGUAACUCUUCAUGUCUUUUGCAACCCUCCACUCUGCCAUCGAGACACCAAUUCUAGCAACAUUCUUUUUGAUGAAAAUUUCGUUAGCAAGAAUGGGCAUUUGGUGUGUCCUUGUUCUUGAAGUAGUACCUGUUCAUGUCUUUUGCAACUCUCCACUCUGCCAUCAAGACACCAAUUCGAGCAACAUUCCUAUGGAUGAAAAUUUUGUUAGCAAAGUUCGUUCUUGUGAUGUACUUAUAAACUCUAGCAACUGCCGACAUUCAGUUUGUGAAACAAAUGUCCUCGACUUUAUAUUCAGGUUGUUGAUUAGCCUUGCACAUGCAUCUACAACCUU